rnacentral:rRNA from 1 species
GACAGAGGGUGCAAACGUUGUUCGGAAUUACUGGGCGUAAAGCGCGUGUAGGCUGCUCCGAAAGUCAGGUGUGAAAGCCCCGGGCUCAACCUGGGAAGUGCACUUGAAACCUCGAAGCUCGAAUGUCGGAGAGGGCAGCGGAAUUCUCGGUGUAGGGGUGAAAUUCGUAGAUAUCGAGAGGAACACCUGUGGCGAAGGCGGCUGCCUGGACGACGAUUGACGCUGAGACGACGAAAGCGUGGGGAGCAAACAGGG